AGUGAACGCUGGCGGUAGGCCUAACACAUGCGAGUCGAACGGUAACGGGUCCUUCGGGAUGCCGACGAGUGGCGAACGGGUGAGUAAUAUAUCGGAACGUGCCCAGUAGUGGGGGAUAACUGCUCGAAAGAGCAGCUAAUACCGCACACGACCUGAGGGUGAAAGGGGGGGAUCGCAAGACCUCUCGCUAUUGGAGCGGCCGAUAUCAGAUUAGCUAGUUGGUGGGGUAAAGGCCUACCAAGGCAACGAUCUGUAGUUGGUCUGAGAGGACGACCAGCCACACUGGGACUGAGACACGGCCCAGACUCCUACGGGAGGCAGCAGUGGGGAAUUUUGGACAAUGGGCGCAAGCCUGAUCCAGCAAUGCCGCGUGCAGGAAGAAGGCCUUCGGGUUGUAAACUGCUUUUGUCAGGGAAGAAAUCUUCUGGGCUAAUACCCCGGGAGGAUGACGGUACCUGAAGAAUAAGCACCGGCUAACUACGUGCCAGCCGCCGCGGUAA
rnacentral:rRNA from 1 species